UCCUCAAUCCUUGUAGAAGGAGUGGGAAGUUGGAAUCAGUGAUCAAACUGCUGCUCCACAGAGGGAGCCUCCCCUGAAACUGCACCAUGGACUUGGGCUAAAAAUGAGCCUAAAGGCCCUGACAUCAAUACACUACUAAUGGGAGCAAGGAACUGUCUUCAUUCCAGAACUGAGCUGAUACCUCCUGAAGGUGAAUCAACAGCUAUCUAAGGAGGAAGAGAUCAUUUCUGUUGUCCCACAUUCAACCUCCAUCCUGGACUGAAAUUGGUAUUGAACAUCUACUGCAUAGUUGCUGCAAUGGAUUAAUGAAUUAAGAAAUUAGCACCCUACCAUCGAAAGAUGAAUGGAUAAAGAAGAUGUGGUUUAUGUAUACAAUGGAAUAUUACUCAGCCAUUAGAAACGACAAAUACCCACCAUUUGCUUCAACGUGGAUGGAACUGGAGGAUAUUAUGCUGAGUGAAAUUUUAUUUAUUUAUUCAUGAAAGACACACAGAGAGAGGCAGAGACACAGGCAGAGGGAGAAGCAGGCCUCUCAUGCGGAGCCCAAUGCGGACCUCAAUCCCAGGACCCAGGAUCACGACCUGAGCCAAAGGCAGAUGCUCAACCACUGAGCCACCCAGAUGGUGAAGCUGAGAUUCACAAAGGGCAGAUGGCUGACCUGAAAACCCUCAGCUGGUUAGUGAUGGAAUCGACAUCCAAAGCAGACUGGCCUGAUCCCUGAGUGCUGUGGGGCCAUCUGCAAAGAGUGCUGUGCAGCCUGCUGUGAGCCCAUCAUGGAAUAACUGCCAUCUAG